CUUGGUGAAGCCAUGUUAGUCGUAGACAGUACUUAAAGGUGGCUGUUUCCCUUUACAGAGUGAUGUCACUGAACUACUCCACAACCGUGCUCGACAGUUGAUGUCUGCAAAAAGAACAACGGGGGAACAAGCAGCGACUGCUGGAGCCCAAGCAUCCAUCCCUCCCACGUCUCUGCUCACACCCUGUAUCCGCACAGAGGCACCUCAGGCUGCUCACCUUCUUACAUGGAGGAUGUUCCUGGCUCUGACUGGAAGCAUAUCUGCCUGGGCUGUAUAUAUAGAGAGAG
rnacentral:lncRNA from 1 species